CAAUCGCAGAACAAAACAUCUCGAGUAAAAAGAGCGACUGUAGUUGGAAACCCCAUGUUCUCAUCUACUGUGGACGAUAACAAUGAUGAAGAGGAAUGCUUAAGCCUAGAUGAUCUCGAUAUGGAUUACGAACAGAUUAUGCAUUAUUUUGACAAUUUGAAGGAAUCAAAUGCCUGAGUCUGUAGCAUAAUCACUGAUGUCCAAACAAUUCUAAACAGUUUUCAACAGCAAUAUGAUAAUAUAAAUAUCGAUGCUAGUCCAAACCACUAACAUAACACAACACCAAAAUGGAGCUUGAAAUGGUCUAUUAUAAAAGUUAAACCACGCUGCAAAUCACUUUAA